rnacentral:rRNA from 1 species
ACGGGAGGCAGCAGUGGGGAAUAUUGCACGAUGGGGAAGACCCUGAUGCAGCGACGCCGCGUGAGCGAAGAAGUAUUUCGGUAUGUAAAGCUCUAUCAGCAGGGAAGAAAAUGACAGUACCUGACUAAGAAGCCCCGGCUAACUACGUGCCAGCAGCCGCGGUAAUACGUAGGGGGCAAGCGUUAUCCGGAUUUACUGGGUGUAAAGGGAGCGUAGGCGGCGUUGCAAGUCAGAUGUGAAACCCCGGGGCUUAACUCCGGGACUGCAUUUGAGACUGUGAUGCUAGAGUGCGGGAGAGGUAAGCGGAAUUCCUAGUGUAGCGGUGAAAUGCGUAGAUAUUAGGAAGAACACCAGUGGCGAAGGCGGCUUACUGGACCGUAACUGACGCUGAGGCUCGAAAGCGUGGGGAGCAAACAGGAUUAGAUACCCUGGUA